rnacentral:rRNA from 1 species
AUUGAACGCUGGCGGCGUGCCUAAUACAUGCAAGCCGAGCGAACGGACGAGAAGCUUGCUUCUCUGAUGUUAGCGGCGGACGGGUGAGUAACACGUGGAUAACCUACCUAUAAGACUGGGAUAACUUCGGGAAACCGGAGCUAAUACCGGAUGAUAUUUUGAACCGCAUGGUUCAAAAGUGAAAGACGGUCUUGCUGUCACUUAUAGAUGGAUCCGCGCUGCAUUAGCUAGUUGGUAAGGUAACGGCUUACCAAGGCAACGAUGCAUAGCCGACCUGAGAGGGUGAUCGGCCACACUGGAACUGAGACACGGUCCAGACUCCUACGGGAGGCAGCAGUAGGGAAUCUUCCGCAAUGGGCGAAAGCCUGACGGAGCAACGCCGCGUGAGUGAUGAAGGUCUUCGGAUCGUAAAACUCUGUUAUUAGGGAAGAACAUAUGUGUAAGUAACUGUGCACAUCUUGACGGUACCUAAUCAGAAAGCCACGGCUAACUACGUG